rnacentral:rRNA from 1 species
AGUGAACGCUGGCGGUAGGCCUAACACAUGCAAGUCGAACGGCAGCACAGUAAGAGCUUGCUCUUACGGGUGGCGAGUGGCGGACGGGUGAGGAAUACAUCGGAAUCUACUUUUUCGUGGGGGAUAACGUAGGGAAACUUACGCUAAUACCGCAUACGACCUACGGGUGGAAGCAGGGGAUCUUCGGACCUUGCGCGAUUGAAUGAGCCGAUGUCGGAUUAGCUAGUUGGCGGGGUAAAGGCCCACCAAGGCGACGAUCCGUAGCUGGUCUGAGAGGAUGAUCAGCCACACUGGAACUGAGACACGGCCCAGACUCCUACGGGAGGCAGCAGUGGGGAAUAUUGGACAAUGGGCGCAAGCCUGAUCCAGCCAUACCGCGUGGGUGAAGAAGGCCUUCGGGUUGUAAAGCCCUUUUGUUGGGAAAGAAAAGCAGCAGGUUAAUACCCCGCUGUUCUGACGGUACCCAAAGAAUAAGCACCGGCUAACUUCGUG